UCAGGAAGGGGAGCCUGAAUUAUCUAUUGCUUUUUCUUUUCUUUUUUCUGGUUUACUAGAGUCACAUUUAAAAAAAAAAUCUAACUCCCAAAACUCAUUAAUUCAACAUUUAAUGCUGAAAUAUAAGUUUAUUGUUAAACUCAGGACAACUCUGUGAAGAUUCACAAAGUAAUUUCUGAAAACUUAUAGUGAAAUUACCCAGUACUAUCAGUAAUUAAUACAUACCAAAAAAAAAAAAAGACAGAAAAGAAAACUUUUUGGGAAUAAUCCUGGAUGAUUUCUCUAAUAAACAGGUUAAUAUACAACCUAUUCUUUUUCUCAAGCUGUAUAGAUUUUAAUUUUUUUUCUAUUAAGUCCCUAGUAUAUCCCAGAUUAAAAAAUACUCAAAACUAUUUUUAAAACCUAAGGAGUAAAGUAUCAGGAAUUAAAUAUUACAAACAUAGUCCUUAAAAAUGCUAUUACAUAUAAAUACAUAUUAAGUAAAAACUUCAUAUUUCUAAGUCAUACAUGGUAUUAGGUUUAUAGAUAACAGUCGCAUGAAACAUCCUUCACUUUUAUUAACUUUCAUGUUUUAGAGUUUUCAUACUAGUCUAUGAAUGCUCUGGAUGCUGCAGGGAAAAACAAGCACAAUCAGUAUUUUAUUUUUAGGAGUUCUCAACUGAGUUAACCUGUCUUGUCUACGUACAUCAUAGCAUUAGCCUUUCAUCUCAUAGUAUGUUGAGAUACUUUUAAUACAGAUUCCUGAUAGAAAUGGAAGCAUAUAUGUAAGUGGUUAAGUCUUGUCUAGUCUCAUUCACCUGCCUCCACGUGCUUUAUUUCUUUAUAUUUGCAAACAAAAUGUGUUGAUUUCAGUUCUAUAAAGAGGAUCUGAUUUCGCCUCCUCGUGUUUGUUCUGCUGUCAUCCUGCACCAUUAAUACAAUGCCUUUCUCUCCCCAUUUAAUGGUGUUUGUAUCGGUGUCCCCAUAUCGGCUGCAUUUUAACUCCAUUAAAAGAAAAUGUGAUUUCGCAUUAAUAGUUUUGCUGAUCAACUCAAUAUUUCCGCACCAAUCAGCAUACUUAUAUGCAUGUAGUAGUCUGUACAAUUGUUCAACAUCAAAAUACUUGUUUACUUUAUGUCAAAAUGUCUAUAAAAAAUUGCUGGCAUUGUUCUCCAUUUCAGUCUGGUAGAAUAAGCGAGAUAGAAAAUAAAU
rnacentral:lncRNA from 1 species